GCAGACAAGCCCGAUCCUUCCGCGCGAUCACUUGCCGAAGCCUUAGCAGCCGGAAACGGCGCGGUCCGCGCGACCGCUCGAAUGCUAGUCCGCACGCCGGGCAACGCCGUCAAAUUGCGGGAACACCCUAAAGACCUUAACACCAAGCGCCCGCCGGAAACGGCGGCGUGGCCGAGCUAGCAGCCCUGGGUAUGGUAACAGCUUGAGGUAUGAAGCCCCCCCCCUUCGGGGAGGCGGAAACGGGCGAUCC
rnacentral:misc_RNA from 1 species